rnacentral:lncRNA from 1 species
GAUUCUUGUAAUAUGCAAGGUUGGUCUAUGCUUAUCAUGUUGACCAUGCUUUCGAGGCCUUUGGAAUGCAACAAGGCAUGGCUUGGAGACAACAUCUCUACUGGCAAGUGUGAGGCUUGGUUCAACGGAUAUGAACUAUUGUGAGCGGUUAGUUAAUAAAAUGAUUUAAUGGACGGUUGUGCAGAAUGUUAUGUUGUUUUGGAUUGUUUUCACUUUCAUUUAUUAGCUUGCGUUCUGCUUUUGGUUGCUGCAGUUUUGAUUGCACCAAUGGUCCUUAAUGGUUACUGUCAUCUAUUUUUUCUGUGGUGCAGGUUGGAAAUUAUGCAGGUGCCGUUUUGCUGCUAUUGGUUUUGAAUGUCGUGCUGCUACGGUUCAGUUGUUGUCGCAGGAUUGCCAGCAUGUAUGGUUUGCGAAAUUGCCAGUACUUGCAAGCAGAAUCAUCUUCCUGAUUGUUUUCUUCUAUAGCCUCCAUGGUCAGCUCUUUUGAUGACGGCACGGGUGCAGGAAUAAGAAACUUGGCAUUGGAAGCAGCAACAGAUUUGGUAGCCGGAACAGAUGGUGACUGUAACCGGUUUGUAGAUUUUCCACCACCACGGUUGAAGGUGUCAACAUAUCUUGAUCGAACACCAACGCGACCACGAGCAGAUAAAUGAUUUAUACCAUGCAGUAUAGGUGGGAUCCCUGGAGUAAUUAUAGUAUUUGAAGUUUUUUUUAUGUCAAAUCCCUCUUUAGAAUGUGACCCAUCUGUCUUCAAUGCAGAUUUCAAACCGUAAUCCGUUAGACCAUUCCGGAAAGCUGCGCUCUUUAGAGGUGGUGACAGUGCAGUUUUUUUUUUCAGCUUGAGGGGCAGCGCCUUCCUUUACCUAUCUUUUCAAAUUUUCAUCCUGAUAGAACUUGUUCGUUUCACCCAAUUUAUCCUGUUUUCCAGGGUGAGGUUUCAAGUCUAGACCCAUUGUCUUUUGCAAAAGUUGUGAGCCGAAACUAAAACGUGAUACAUGAGAUGGACCCCAGACGCUUUUCUUUGUUCGUCAUGUGAGGUUUUCCUGUUGGGGCUUCUACCAAAGUCCGGCUCUGAAACGCUUCUACUAGGUUUUGUCAUCCUAUGAUUCUCAGUUUUCCACUCAUUUAUGGGUUCCAUUGAAUCAGACGGAAGUGAGGAUGACAUUGCCAUUGUUGAUUGGCUAUUGGACACUAUAUGUCGUAUGUUGACAAUUAUGUUCAUUUUCAUGAACGGAUCUUUGUGAUGAUGAUGAGGCAGGCGGUACUAGUAUGAUGCAGGAAGGGUAUGGUCCAAGGCAUAUGCUACCGGUUUUUAGGCCAUGGUGCCAUGCGGUUUCAUUUUAUACACCUGCGUUUUUAUCGGUGUGUGUUGUAGCUUGUACUGUUGACUGCGUUUGCUGCAGCAUUUUCAUUCACUUCCCAAUGGCCUCUCUCCUUUAUGUAAAAUGUUACUGGAUGAUGGUUUGAAUUAAUGAAAGUGGUUAUGGAUUAAAUCUGGUCAUGAA